UCUCUUUAGUCUUUGCCUAAUCUUCAGUUUCUUUUUUUCCAUCAUCUUCUGAACUUUCUUUCCCUUUUCAAAAUUUCUUCAAAAUUUCCAUUUUCUUAGCUAAAUUUCGCGGUUGUUGAAGGAAAGAUGAAACUUUUAGUUUAUAAUUUUCGUCAAACUCCAACUUCUUUCUGAAUUUUACCAAUGUCGAGGGAAAGAUUGAAACUUUUAGUUGAAAAUUGGAAAAAAAAAUUUACAGAGGAGAAAGAUUCUUUUACAGUUUUUCCUCUCAGUUAUGACCAUUAUGUGUUCGCGUGCUUGUGCAGCAUCAAGUGCGGUAAGUGGUAACUGGUAAGUUACCCUUACCUGGUUUAUUUAGGUUCUAUCUGGAAUGAUUUUGGCUUUAUUACUCAAUCUUUGGAUAUUAUGAGCGUUUUGAAGUUGUCAUUUUAAUGAAUAUGUAAGGUUAUAUUUGUCUCUAGAAAUUCUCUUGAAUUGUUUGUGCUUGAACCUAAUAAGGAGCCACAAGAUGAUAAGGGGAAAGAAGAUGAUAAAGUUAUACUCCCUCGGUCCCACUGUAUGUGAGACGAUUCGGAGCACGAGGGUCAAAGUAUCUAAUUUUUGGUGUGAAUUUGGACAUAGAACCUUAAAAAUUUUGAUUUUUUUUUACAUAUUUAAAUGAUACAUAAAAAAGUAAAAGGUGUGACGAUAUUAGCAUACAAUUUUAACAAAACUAUUUUAUAUGCCAUGUAUACAUUAAGUAAUGUGAAUAUCACUAAAGGAGUAUUAGUCGAAUGUUAUGGCCAGUAGUUUGGCAUGUCGCCUAUCGAAUAUUUCGUACAAGUCUUUUGCUUUGACAUUUUUUAGUAAUACUUUUCCUCCCUUUAGUGUCAAAUUAGCCGAAUUUAUUUAGAUGUGAGUAUUCACAGUUUGUACACUAAAUCAAUAUUGUUAGAAGUUAAAGAGUCAUCUAAUGUGUUUCUCACUCUUAAGUUUCUUAUAUUUCUCAUAUCAACGAAACUAUGUACAUCUUCAUAAUCACAUUUAUGUACAACAGAAAUUUUAAUAGUGCUACUUUUCAUAGGUACGAGGAAAGCCUAUCAAAUUGCGGGUUCAUAGAAAAUUAGAAAAGGAUAAUUACUGUCUCAAAUAAUUGCUUCCAGGUCCAUCUUUUGACUUUGGUAUUUGCCUUUUCCAGUGUUCAUUCAAGUUGGGAAGUUGGAUGCUAAAGCAGUUCGUCCUCUGGUUAUCAUCUUUAUAUAUUGUAGACUACAAAACUUGAAUGAAUUAUAAUAUUGUCUGGUAUCUUUGUUUUUGCUUUUUGCCUAUGCCAGGUGUUUUUCGAGUUCACUGGUGUUUCAUAAAGAAUUGCUUUCAUGUGCAGAUUACGUGAUUUAGCUAAGUCUGAUGUGAAAGUAUUCACUCAAAUCAACUAAAGGAAUCAAUAACAAGGUACAUACUGAAUAAAUACAAAGAUGAUUGUCGCUCAAAUUGAUUAAGUCAGUGAGGACUUCUAACUUUCGGACCUCCAAGGGACAAGAUCAACAAUUAUAAUAUCUGGAUUGCUUAUUUAUUUGCUUAUAUAUAGUGUAUUGUUAAUUGCACGCGUCUUCAUUCUUUAUCUUUUGUUAUUUAAUUCUGCAGAUGUUGGAUUGAGCAAGUCAAUCUGGCAAUCAAAUUCUAUUCUUAGUGUAUGCCAAAUUUGAUUAUGUCUCUUAAGGCAUUUAGUCAAGAAUUCUUUAGAGAAGGUACGUAGCCUCUUCUUUGAGUGCAUAAUGUUGAUGAGAAAUAAAAAGGAAUAUCGAAAAUUUGAGUGGCUGAAGCUGAAGCAGAUACUUUCGAAGUUAGUGAUUCGAUCUUUUGAUAAUCCAUUUUUUGAAAACUUUCAGCUAUCAAGGAGACGAAAAGCUAUGUGAAGUAAAAGAGUAAAGGGUCGGAGAUGCCCUUGUAGAUCACCUACCCAGCUUUGGAAGGACAUGGGUGGAUAAUUAUCACCGGAUUUGAUCCAAAAAACAGAGGGCGUAGUUACCUUAUUCUUUUGGGAAGGUGUUCUUCUACUGGAGUUUCUGAUGACAAGAAGAUCAGUGAGGAGCAAAUGGAAAGCUAUUGCUUGGUUGAUUAUCAAAAAUCGAUGUUGAGAGCUACUGUCACUUUAUUGAAAAUGUUAAUCUAAUUGCAAGUUCUUUGUUUGCUUGUUCUGUAAUACCAACAUGACGGGUAACAAUGACAAAAAGGUUGAGAGUAAUGCCUGUUUCACGUUGUGUCAUAUGAGAGUAUACCUCCAGCUAAAGAAUAUAGUGACUUUUCGUCUUUCUGUGUGGAUGUUAUGCCUGCUUUGGCAUCUCAUUUGAGAUUUGUUCAUUUUUAGCGGAUAGCACAUAUGUUCAAGAGCUUGAAAUGUACCUACUGUAUAUUUUUAAGAAUCCUAGAGUCUUUGCUCUCACUAAGGAGAUAAAAGAUUCUUUCGACUUUACAUUGAUAGCUUUUUUUAAUUAUUUAUGGAAGGCUACAAUCAGUCUCACA